rnacentral:rRNA from 1 species
AUUGAACGCUAGCGGGAUGCUUUACACAUGCAAGUCGAACGGCAGCGCGGACUUCGUUCUGGUGUCGAGUGGCGAACGGGCGAGUAAUUUAUCGGAGGGUGCCCAGUAGAGGGGGAUAAGUAAGCGUAAGCGUAGCUAAUAUAGCACAGGCUCUACGGGGGAAAGCCGGGGAUCGAAAGAGAUUGCAGUACUGGAUCGGCCGUUAACGGAUAUGCUCGCUGGAUUAGCUAGUUGGUAAGGUAACGGCUUACCAAGGCAACGAUGCGUAGCCGACCUGAGAGGACGACCAGCCACACUGGAACUGAGACACGGCCCAGACUCCUACGGGAGGCAGCAGUGGGGAAUUUUGGACAAAGGGCGCAACCCUGACCCAGCCAUCCCGCGUGUGCGAUGAAGGUCUUCGGAUUGUAAAACACUUUUAGCAGGAAAGAAACGUCGCGGGCUAAUACCCCGAGAAACUGACGGUACCUGCAGAGUAAGCACCGGCUAACUACGUG